rnacentral:rRNA from 1 species
UACGGAGGGGGCGAGCGUUAUUCGGAAUUAUUGGGCGUAAAGGGCGCGUAGGUGGCCCUGUAAGUCAAAGGUGAAAUCCCUCGGCUCAACCGAGGAAUUGCCCUUGAAACUGCAGGCUUGAGGCCGGGAGGGGUAGCGGAAUUCCCAGUGUAGCGGUGAAAUGCGUAGAUACUGGGAGGAACACCGGUGGCGAAGGCGGCUACCUGGACCGGUUCUGACACUGAUGCGCGAAAGCGUGGGUAGCAAACAGG